GCCUCGGUAGCUCAGUGGUUAGGGCACCUACCAGGCCGGGAUCGGGGUGUCGUGGGUUUGGAUCCCGCUCGGGAACU